rnacentral:tRNA from 1 species
GGUUGUGGCUCAGUGGUAGAGUGCUUGCCUAGCAUGUGUGAGGCACUGGGUUCAAUCCACAGCACCA